AUUGAACGCUGGCGGCAGGCCUAACACAUGCAAGUCGAACGAGUGGCGGACGGGUGAGUAAUGUCUGGGAAACUGCCUGAUGGAGGGGGAUAACUACUGGAAACGGUAGCUAAUACCGCAUACCAUCGGAUGUGCCCAGAUGGGAUUAGCUAGUAGGUGGGGUAACGGCUCACCUAGGCGACGAUCCCUAGCUGGUCUGAGAGGAUGACCAGCCACACGGGAACUGAGAAACGGCCCGGACUCCGACGGGAGGCGGCGGUGGGGAAUAUUGCACAAGGGGCGAAAGCUGAAUGCAGCCCGGCCGGGUGUAUGAAGAAGUCUUUCGGUUUGGAAAGUAUGUUCAGCGGGAAGGCGUUACCCGCAGAAGAAGCACCGGCUAACUCCGUGCCAGCAGCCGCGGUAAUAC
rnacentral:rRNA from 1 species